rnacentral:lncRNA from 1 species
GAAUUGGUCGUCGAAUGCCAUACUUUCCGGCUUUUCAAGGAAGAGAUGUUACAACAUUACAUCCAAAUAUGCAAGAACAUUAGCUCUACAAGAAAAAUAGACUCAUUCUUUAAAAAAAAAACAAUAGACUCAUUAUGUUAAGUGAAAUUAGCCAAUGAAGUUUAUCAAGAAUGUUAGUUGCCACUUAAAUGGACUGAGAAGAUUAAGAACUAUCAUAGAUACUAAUGCGAUAAACAAUUCUUUGAGGCAGAUUAUUGAGAUGACACUUUUAUAUGAU